CCUACGGGUGGCUGCAGUGGGGAAUAUUGGACAAUGGGCGAAAGCCUGAUCCAGCCAUGCCGCGUGUGUGAAGAAGGCCUUCGGGUUGUAAAGCACUUUCAGUGGGGAAGAAAGCCUUGGGGCUAAUACCCUCGAGGAAGGACAUCACCCACAGAAGAAGCACCGGCUAACUCCGUGCCAGCAGCCGCGGUAAUACGGAGGGUGCGAGCGUUAAUCGGAAUUACUGGGCGUAAAGCGCGCGUAGGCGGUCUGAUAAGCCGGUUGUGAAAGCCCCGGGCUCAACCUGGGAACGGCAUCCGGAACUGUCAGGCUAGAGUACAGGAGAGGAAGGUAGAAUUCCCGGUGUAGCGGUGAAAUGCGUAGAGAUCGGGAGGAAUACCAGUGGCGAAGGCGGCCUUCUGGACUGACACUGACGCUGAGGUGCGAAAGCGUGGGUAGCAAACAGGAUUAGAUACCCUGGUAGUC
rnacentral:rRNA from 1 species